GACGAACACUGGCGGCGUGCCUAAUACAUGCAAGUUGAGCGCUGAAGGUUGGUACUUGUACCAACUGGAUGAGCAGCGAACGGGUGAGUAACGCGUGGGGAAUCUGCCUUUGAGCGGGGGACAACAUUUGGAAACGAAUGCUAAUACCGCAUAAAAACUUUAAACACAAGUUUUAAGUUUGAAAGAUGCAAUUGCAUCACUCAAAGAUGAUCCCGCGUUGUAUUAGCUAGUUGGUGAGGUAAAGGCUCACCAAGGCGAUGAUACAUAGCCGACCUGAGAGGGUGAUCGGCCACAUUGGGACUGAGACACGGCCCAAACUCCUACGGGAGGCAGCAGUAGGGAAUCUUCGGGCAAUGGACGAAAGUCUGACCGAGCAAACGCCGCGUGAGUGAAAGAAAGGUUUUUCGGA
rnacentral:rRNA from 1 species